rnacentral:tRNA from 1 species
AUUAUUUUGGCAGAUUAGUGUGAUAAAUUUAGAAUUUAAUAAAGUAUAGAGUUUAUACAAAUAAUA